rnacentral:rRNA from 1 species
UACGGAGGGUGCAAGCGUUAUCCGGAUUCACUGGGUUUAAAGGGUGUGUAGGCUGGUAUUUAAGUCAGUGGUGAAAUCUCCAGGCUCAACCUGGAAACUGCCAUUGAUACUAUUUAUCUUGAAUAUCGUUGAGGUUGGCGGAAUAUAUCAUGUAGCGGCGAAAUGCAUAGAUAUGAUAUAGAACACCGAUUGCGAAGGCAGCUAACUAAGCGAUUAUUGACGCUGAGGCACGAAAGCGUGGGGAUCAAACAGG